rnacentral:rRNA from 1 species
AGUGAACGCUGGCGGUAGGCCUAACACAUGCAAGUCGAACGGCAGCACAGUAAGAGCUUGCUCUUACGGGUGGCGAGUGGCGGACGGGUGAGGAAUACAUCGGAAUCUACUUUUUCGUGGGGGAUAACGUAGGGAAACUUACGCUAAUACCGCAUACGACCUACGGGUGAAAGCAGGGGAUCUUCGGACCUUGCGCGAUUGAAUGAGCCGAUGUCGGAUUAGCUAGUUGGCAGGGUAAAGGCCCACCAAGGCGACGAUCCGUAGCUGGUCUGAGAGGAUGAUCAGCCACACUGGAACUGAGACACGGUCCAGACUCCUACGGGAGGCAGCAGUGGGGAAUAUUGGACAAUGGGCGCAAGCCUGAUCCAGCCACACCGCGUGGGUGAAGAAGGCCUUCGGGUUGUAAAGCCCUUUUGUUGGGAAAGAAAAGCAGCAGGUUAAUACCCCGCUGUUCUGACGGUACCCAAAGAAUAAGCACCGGCUAACUUCGUG